AGCAGCUUUGCUGUAUGAAUUCUACAAAGUCUCUAUUUCCUGUCCUGAAGAGCACUGAAGUCAUGGCUUGCUUAGUUUACUGGUCAGCUAAAGAACAUACUGAUGCUCUGAAAGAUGACUCCAGGAGAGUUUGAGGAGGCAAACACCGUCUACACAGUACUACAAGGCUUUGUCCCAAGAACCUACAUAGCUAUGAUGGACAAGGUUAAGUAAUAAACCACACAGAGGCUGAAAGCUGCUGGACAAGUGCUCUGGUCACCUGUCCUUAGGCAAGAAUUCUGGAAGGUAUUUUGUGUAUAUUCAUUAGUUCUAGCUAAUCUAGAACCUCAUACAUGUUCAUUAUAACAACCUUGAUAAUGUUUUGUUUUAAAUCACCAUUCAUGUGGUUUGACAUACAUAGAAAUAUUCACUGAUUUUAUGUAUAUGUUUAGAUGAUUUGUGACAUAUAUGUCAUCAGAUAAAUAUUAUCAGAAUCAAAGAUGUUGGAAAUUACCAUUGCCCCUCAAUCUCUCCAUGCCCUUUUAGUCAAUCUCCUACUCCCAUAUAUUGCAAUAAUUGAUGACCUGUCUUCACUAUAGUUUUACUUUUUCUAGAAUUUUGUAUUAGUGGAAUUAUACAAUGCAGUGUCUCUUGUGUCAAGCUUCUUUCACAAAAAGACAUUGAUAUUGUACAUAUCAAUGUUUCCUUCCUUUUCAUUGCUAAGCAGUGUUACAUUGUAUGGAUGCGUCAUUCUUUGCUUAUUCAUAUGUGAAUGCAUAAACUAGUUGUGGUAUGCCCAUGCCACUUUCCAGUUCUGUGAAUGUUCACAUGCAUUAGGGAGCUUACGUCUUCAUUUUUCUUGGGUAAAUAUCUAAAAGUGAUAUUGGUAAAUCAUUUGACAAGUAUAUUUUUAACUAUCCAUGGAAUUAACAAAAUAGUUUUCAAAGUGUGCCAUUUUGCAUUUCACCAGAACUCAUCCUUAUCAAUGCUUGCUUUGGCCAGUCUUUUUAAUUUUAAUCAUUCUAUAGCAUGUAGAGUGGUAUCUCACUGAGGUUUCAGUAUGCAUUUCACCUAAUGAAGUUGAUCAGGGAUUUGUAUGCUUUUUUUGGCCAUUUAUGUAUC